rnacentral:misc_RNA from 1 species
GAUGAAGAACGCAGCGAAAUGCGAUAAGUAAUGUGAAUUGCAGAAUUCAGUGAAUCAUCGAAUCUUUGAACGCACAUUGCGCCCGCCAGUAUUCUGGCGGGCAUGCCUGUUCGAGCGUCAUUACAACCCUCAGGCCCCCGGGCCUGGCGUUGGGGAUCGGCGGAGCCCCCCGUGGGCACACGCCGUCCCCCAAAUGCAGUGGCGGUCCCGCCGCAGCUUCCAUCGCGUAGUAGCUAACACCUCGCGACUGGAGAGCGGCGAGGCCACGCCGUAAAACACCCAACUCUUCUGAAGUUGACCUCGAAUCAGGUAGGAAUACCCGCUGAACUUAAGCAUAUCAAUAAGCGGAGGA